UACAGAGGGGGCAAGCGUUGUUCGGAAUUACUGGGCGUAAAGGGCGCGUAGGCGGCCAACUAAGUCGAACGUGAAAUCCCUGGGCUCAACCCAGGAACUGCGUCCGAUACUGGUUGGCUUGAAUCCGGGAGAGGGAUGCGGAAUUCCAGGUGUAGCGGUGAAAUGCGUAGAUAUCAGGAGGAACACCGGUGGCGAAGGCGGAUCUCUGGGCCAUUACUGACGCUGAGGAGCGAAAGCGUGGGGAGCGAACAGG
rnacentral:rRNA from 1 species